UGAAACUAAAUAAAGAAAUUGCAUGGAAAUAAGAAAAUAAGCAUGUGACAUUCAAAGUUGAAACCAGAUGGAUUUUUUACAAAAUGUGCCUACUGUCAGCUGAAAAUCCAUCACCUGCAAUCUGCGACCUCAUGGAGCUGUAUAAAUCCUGGCUGUGUGAAUAUUUACAUCUUUAGUACCCAAGAAGGAAAAUAAGACCCACAUCAUCAAAGAAAGCUUGUUCAAUCAAAACACAACUAUCAAGCCAAGAAGAGGAUGAAGCCCUGACCCUGACCUGCUGUUGCUCUUGCCAGGCUGGAUGUGCCCAGCCUGCAACUCACUGCAGUGAGUGCCAGAGCAUGCCUGAAACAAGGCCACCCUGUAACAGCAGGGACUCUCUGUAGACAUUCCUGGUCUAGUGCAGAAUCCUAGGUCAGGGUGACACUAAAAAUCACCAGUGAUGUUUUCCACAGCUCCCUGGCCCACACACAGGAUGGUGUGAGGAGGACACUGCUGUAUGUAAAGCAACUGGAGGCUGAGGAGUGACACUGGAAUUAUUCAGCCUUGCACAAUUUUAAUAGACAUGGGCAGUAAUGUAUGAUGGAUUAAAACAUUGUACUCACUUGUUAAUAAACCGUGUUACUCACCCA